rnacentral:lncRNA from 1 species
UUCAGGAGUUAUCUUAACCUCUUAACUUUCUGUUAACUCUUUAUAACACCGAGCCACAUUCAUAACACAGAUCACGUGUCCAAUCGAAUAAGCAAAAUUUAGUUUCCAUUUUUCAGUGAGAUCGCAGAAAAUUCUUCAGAGAUUUCAGUCCAUACUCCUCGAUCAUAAAAUGCCUUACAAUUAUCCAUAGAAUAAAAAUUUCUCUCGUCAAUAAUGUCCGGCGUGGUCAUGGUUCCCAGCGAAAGUUGCUAGUAGAAGAACGACGAAUUAUUAUAUCCCUCGGGUGGCGCAACGUCAGUCGACCAAGUGCACUUAAGCUCGAACAUGAAUGUAAUUCUCGCACGCUCGCGCGAGCCUGUCGUCACACAUGCGAAACACGUAUACACGAGGUAAAACACAGGGAAACAGCAGCGUGGCCGCGGUUUCGAAGCAUGCAUGCCAGUCAGGCUUCGUUCAAAGGCCCCCGAUUAAAUCUCACCUGGCUUAAUAUUAUUAUUUUACGUGGCGCCUGCGAGUGAAAACGAGCGACCCGACGAGAGGGCGAGGAAAUUAGAGAGAGUGCGAGGGGCGGGCAGGGAAGGUUGGAUAAUGCCAGUGGAUAAAAGCAAAUGGAACAGUGCAGGAAACACUGGCCGAAUAUCGUUCACGUGAACGAUCUUUGUACCGUCUAUGCAACCGUAAUUCCAGUUAUUUAGCCUCUCCUCCGACCUCCCCGGUUAUUCGUGAGUAGAAACGUUGUUCUGACUAGGUGUUUCCAGGUCUAUUACUAUUCAAAAUUAUCCAAGAACUGUUCAAAAAGAUGUUUCCGUCAUUAAGGUGUCGUUCGAUUGCUGUUUGCAAUUUAUUCAAUUGGCAACUAAGUAAUUGCGGAUUUUGUCAAUGCCAUCUAAUGGCAAAAUCCGCAACCACUUGCCAACCCAAUAUUAUAUUUUUCUAAGGUCGGUGGAAGAAUGUGUAGAGUAAGGAUGUAGGAAUUAAAUGAAGCUUUUAUAGAAUAUAGAGAUGUUGCAUGGUUUUAACCCGUUCACUGUGAAUCAGAUUUUUGUUACAUAUAAAUUGCCUUGUUAACAAAUAGUUCUGCGCCACACCUGUAUCUAUCCAGUUAAUCUUUAUAUGUACAUAAAUUAUAAUCAUUCGAACAUCUAUUACAUCUAUCACACUAUGUAUACAGUGGUUCACGUGGAAGUAUUGUUAUAUGUAUAUAUAAUGUAUUAUAUUAUACAUGUUACACGAAACAUUUUGAAAUAUCACGAGUAAAAAUAUGAUUAUUAUGAUUGUAUUGGUUACACAAAAAGUUUAGUUUCUUAAAGUUAAAUAUUCAUUGCUUAUUCAAGUGCUAGGAAUAAUUAUGUGCGUUAUUGUAUAUCCGAUAGAAAUGGACAUUCGGUUUGUAUCACGCAUCUAAGUUGCUAUCAUACACGUAUCCUGAAAGUACGUGUCGACUGGUCAUGUAUAGUGAAUGUGUUAAUUACAAGCUUUAAUCGGUUCGUUUCAUUAUAUGCACGUUGAUAAUUCGUUCUGAAAGGAGGGGGAAAAAGAAGAAAAUCGAGUCGAAAAUAAAACAGCAGAGGUAAAACGAAUCGAGAUCGAGUCUUGCGAAAACAUUAAGAUCAACCUGGUCUAGAGUUCCUACUCUCGAUCCGGUUCUUCGAGGAUGCGUUUAUUAAUCGGAGAAUUGCGAUUCUGCGUGUCGAUAGGGAAAAUAUUGCUAUGUAAUAUGUAGCUAUAUAAUAUAUCAAUUGUUAAAUAAUUAUGCCACCUAUAAUAGCAUAAAGUAUCGUAUCCUGUGAUACCUAUAUAAUAAAUUUAACACAGGAACUCUAGUCACGAUAGUCUUCAGUUUUUCAGAUAGUUACAAAAUUCAAGAAAAUUUUCUUCUAAUCGUAAUAUUAAAUUAUGUAAAGAAAAAUUAAUUGCGAAUAUACAAUCGAGGGAAAGGAUGAAAGAGGUUAGAAAAUAUUAUUUCUUGUCGUGGUUACUAAAAAGAAAGUCGAUUAAUGAUAAUCAAUUUUUAUCUAUUUUGUACUCUGGCUGUUUCUAAUUCGUGCUAUUCUCCUAAUUAAAUUUAAUGAAUUCCAGGAUGAUAUGUACGACGAUUUGGUACACCGAACAAGCUUCUUUAAUGGUGCCGAUAAAAUCGUAAGACGUUAAUCCGUUGAUCACACGGGAUCAUUUGGCCUUGUGGUAGAGAACGUGCCCCUGUUAGACGAGCAUUACGCAAUUCAAAUAUUAUUCAAAGGCUAAAAGCUAGGGGGGCAGGGCGCAGAUGACGUAGAAAGGAACUAGAGGGGAUGAAAUGUGUGCGUGCGAGCAGCCAUAGGGUAUUAUGUUACCGGAAAGAUGGACCUGGAUAAGGGCACCAGUUUCCUUCCUCUUCGGAUUUUCUUCGUUGUCGAUCAAUGGUUUUCUACUGUUUUCGAGAAAAUUUCACUGUAAAUCGAGGAUAAAAUUUUGAUCGGCUGUGCUUGGUGAUUGGCGGUUCAUUAACUUCAUAUCGACUUUUAGUUUCCGUUAUAUAUCAUCUGUUAAGAAUAUUAUUUAUUUGGAAAUUAUAUUGCUUCAAAUUUGCACCUGAACAUAGUAAAAGUUGAUAAUCAUUGAAAUAAAUUAUUCAAAUUCUUAGAAGAUUAAUCGUGGCAAUUUGACCGUUUUGCUGUAAUAGCGUGUUUCGAUAUUCCAACUGUACCGAUAACAUUAAAAUUGGUUUAGUCAUUUCGCAGUCAUUAAUUCGAGUAUUUUAAUCAGUUUCAUAUUACGAUAGUAUUGCUUACGUUUCUGGCAAUCCGAACAGGGUAGGCCGUAG